rnacentral:rRNA from 1 species
UACGUAGGUGGCAAGCGUUGUCCGGAUUUACUGGGCGUAAAGAGCGCGCAGGCGGUCUUGUAAGUCGGGUGUGAAAGCCCCUGGCUCAACCAGGGAGGGUCAUUCGAUACUGCUUGACUCGAAGGCAGGAGAGGGAAGUGGAAUUCCGGGUGUAGUGGUGAAAUGCGUAGAUAUCCGGAGGAACACCAGUGGCGAAGGCGACUUUCUGGCCUGUUCUUGACGCUGAGGCGCGAAAGCUAGGGGAGCAAACGGG